UAAUUAUGAGUUUGCGUGAAGUGAGCACGUCGUUUGCCAAAGUUGGAAACUACAGCUCCCAGUAUACUAUGGUCUCUGGAUCACGUGAUUGAUCAACUGAGAAAUACAUGGGUAGAUGUAAACCAACAUACUAAACUCAUGAUUUUAGUCUACUGCAAUGAUUAUAUGUCAGUGGGUUGUCUUUAUUCAAUACGCCCAACUUUAUGUAAGGUUUGUAUAAUAAUACACACAAGGCUUAGAAUGAAGAGAUAUGAAGCAAGGAGGAUGAUCCUUCCGAUCUAGUACAUCUACAUCAACUGUCGCGUCAAAACCGUCGCAAAGGAGGGUAGCUACGGUAACCAACAUCCUGAAUCCACGACAGAGGUCUGUCCUCACCAACCAACUAUCAAGGUAGACUGGUAGGCCUUGGCAACAAUGUCUGCUCCUCAACAGCAGGAACAAAGCAGAGCCCUGUGUGCAAACCCUGGGAAUCCUGUUUUCUCAUGUAUGAUGACCCCAGUGGUUAAAAACAAUUCUCCUGUGCCAUGGGCAAAGCCUCAAAGCCCCUUCUACAAGACCACCUCAAGUGACUAUGGCAUUAGUCCUCCAACAUUUGAAUCAUCACCAUGUACCUACCACCCACUUUCACAAAGAUUCACAGAAGACCUUGGGAACUGUGGGAUGUUACGUGACAACUCCUUCAAUACAAGUCUUGAUCGAAGCAGGGUAUAUGACUGCCCUAAUUUGCAAAACACUAUCUGAUUUGAUUGACAUGGUAACAUUGUCUUGGUGUUGAUUAAACUACCUGGUGGACCUUCACUCCAUUGACAAUGA